CUUCCUUAUUCCCAACGGUCAUAUUCAAGCCUCGUCAUAUAAAUACUCUCAAGCCUCAACAAAAAUACUGUUCUUCUUCCUGACCCCCAACGGUCAUAUUCAAACCUCAUCGCUCUUCUCUGUCUCUCACUCUCUCUCUUCCUCACCACAACAAUCAGUAACUAUGAAAUCAAUUACAGAAAGCACUCAAAAUCAAUUAUCAACGUCUUCAAUAUCCAUUCUUUGAAGUUUUAUUAUCGGUGGUCCUGUUCUUGAUUCUGAUUCAAAUCAGGAAUAUGUGUUCAAGCUAGGUUAAUACUUCAAUCUUAUCAAUGGAGGGACUGGAAGUGGCAAGACAAUUCAAAAAGUAUGUUAAUGCUUAGUCAUCAGGGCAUUGUUCAUCAUCGCAUUUUCAAAAUGCUAUUCUCGGGUAUUCAAAAGGCAACAGGUGUAUGCUUUUGGAAAUGGUGCCCAUCCAUGCAAUUUGUAAGUUUCACGAUGUAUAGGAUCUUGUUUAACAAAUGUGCUGCAAGAAUCACUUGGUGGAAAUUCAAAACACACAGUUAUAUGAAUCUUCCCCGAAAAAAGAUAUGAUAUGACGGUGAGACGCUUAUGACAUUCAAAUUCGGGCGGGCAGAGUGAACCGGUGAUAUUGGAGGAGGAUGUUAAUGAUUAAAGUGAUCAGAUUCGACAAUUAAAGGUUAUGAAUUCUUUUUCCUGGUUGUUUAUUUAUAUUUCUGCUGAUAUGACUUAGGAUUAUAUUAAAGGUGUCUAUCAUUUAGAGGAACUUAUAAGAGCGUGCAAUCAGACGUCCAUUAUUCAGUUAGGAACAAAAAUGGAUGUUUUUAAAGGGCAAAAUGCACGUGAAAUUUUGCUCUUUGAUGUUACCUCGUAGAGAUCAUGUGCUAACCAAGCAAGCACACCUUUAGGAGGAGACUCAUGAGAUUCAUAACCGAUUAGAGAAUCGCUACUGAUUGAAGCAAGAUGAUCUGCUUUGAAAUUAGCUUCACGAACCCUCGAAUCGCAGCACGAACACGAAUAUUGGACCUGCAUCUGAAUUUUUGCUAAUCUUCUCAACAACUGUCAAGUUGUCAACUUCCAAAAGAAUUUUCCCGAGUCCCCAGCUGAAGACCAUGAAGCACUCCCCUGAACUCCGCCCCGAUAACAGAAUCAACUCCAAUAGUCAUCGAGAAGCUACCCAACCAACGGCCAAAAUAAUAAUCUCUAACAACUCCGCCAGCUUUAGCAUUCCCAGUAGUAAAAAUUAGAGGCCCAUCCGUAUUAUUUUUGCCCAAGUUGGAGAUGGACAUUUCCAGCUAAUAUAGGGGUCUUCAUUACACGGUUCAAAUGCAACUCAUUCAAUUUCAUGUUAGCAGACUCAAUAUAAGCCACUCUAUUGAAAUUUCAGAACAAUGGCUUCAAAAACAUAAGUAUUACGCCAACUCCACAUCCCAUAAAGUAACCCCAAAGAAACUUCCACUCAAUCAGUUACAUAGCUCAAAAUAUUACAACAAUGAAGUUAAUAUUCCUGAGAUGUGAGGGAAUUCCAUCAGCAACUCAAUCAGUUACAUAGCUCUUGCGAGGAGAAAAAUCUGUCUGACUCCAUAAACUCAAGUCACUUUGCUUCUGUUGAUAAAAGAUCUGGGAAAACACCUCAAGAGCCCACUAUGGUUACUACCAUCAGAACUUUCAGCAGGUCAGAACAAUAUGUUUCACAGUAACAACUUCAAGUUAAAAAUGUUCCAAUCACUUUAGCACAGUGAGAAUAUUCAGUCACACCGAGUUAGAGGAAGCUAACUGUCCAAAAGUUAGCUAACAAUACAUAAGCAAAAUUGUGCUAUGGCAAAAAUACUUGUAUUGCAAAAUACUUGUAUCACACCGAGUUAGAGGAAGCUAACUGUCCAAAAGUUAGCUAACAAUGAUCAUCAAAUUCUCAACUCUAUACCUCUCUUGUAAUAUAAGAUCAAUGAUAACUCUAAUGAGGUUCAAGAUAGCCAAAAGAGAUGGAUUUACAGCUGAUGAAUUUUAGCUGUUGAUGAGGCAGGAAGUUUUAGCAAGCAGCUAAAGUAUGCUCAGAUGGGUAUUACCUUUUUGUACUAUCUAUUUCUUGCAUCAUUAGUUCAUUAAUAAGGCACAUAAUCUUCGAGCUCGUAGUUUAUUUACUUUUUUUCAUUCUAGGCUUCUUAUGGAAGCGUUAAGGAGAAAAGAUUGGAGCUUGUUUUUGGUUGUGCUUCUGUAAUAUGCUGUCGGUUUACUCUGAAACAUAUAAUAUCAUGGUUAUCUGUUUUGGAGCAAA